GAUGGUGGAUGCCUCGGGAGUUGGGAAAAUGGAGGGCGUGGCGUAGCUGCGAUAAGCUGGGGGGAGGUGCGUAGCAACCUGUGAUCCCCAGAUUCCCUCUUAACCCGGGGAAGUGAAACAUCUCAGUACCCGGAGGAAAAGAGACCAAAAGGCAUUCCCUGAGUAGCGGCGAGCGAAAAGGGAGGAGCCCAAACCAGAGAGAUUUUUCUCUCUGGGGUUGUGGGAGUAGGGUGGAGGAGAAAAUCCUCAGGGAGUUACAAAUUCUCUCUCUAGCCGAAGGACCCUGGAACGGGCCGCCAUAGAGGGUGAAAGCCCCGUAGGCGAAAGGGAGAGAACUCCCGGACCCUACAUCCCGAGUACCUCGAGGCCAAGAUAACCUUGAGGGAAGCAGGGAGGACUAAUCUCCCAAGGCUAAAUAUCCCAACUCACCGAUAGUGAACUAGUACCGCGAGGGAACGGUGAAAAGAACCCCGGUGAGGGGAGUGAAACAGAACCUGAAACCAUCCACUUACAAAGAGUCGGAGGGGAGAGAGAAUUAUUUUUCUCUCCCUGACGGCGUACCUAUUGGAGCAGGAUCCUACGAGUUUUCGUCUCUCCCAAGUCUAAGGGCUUCUGGCCCGGAGGCAAAGUGAAAGCGAGCGUGAAUGAGCGCGCGAGGGAGGGGCGAAAGACCCGAAGCCAGUCGAUCUAUCCCUGGGCAGGGUGAAGGCGGUGGAAAACACCGCUGGAGGCCCGAACCGGUGGGUGGUGCAAAACCCUCGGACGACCUGGGGAUAGGGGUGAAAGGCCUAUCUAGGCUGGGAAUAGCUGGUUCUCCCCGAAAUAGCUUUAGGGCUAGCCUCAGGCGUUUCCUUGGUACGGUAGAGCACUGGAAGAGAUAGCUUACCUUUUGGUGGCUAUCUCUACCAAACUCCGAAUGUACCAAGGUAAAAGCCUGGGAGUCAGAGGGUGGGGGAGAAGCUCCAUCCUCGCGAGGGGAACAACCCAGACCCCAAGCUAAGGCCCCGAAAUCCGGGCUAAGUGCUAAAUAAAGGAAGUGGGAUUCCUUAGACAACCGGGAGGUGAGCUUAGAAGCAGCUAUCCUUUAAAAAGUGCGUAACAGCUUACCGGUCGAGGAAUCCUGCGCCGAAGAUUCAUAGGGGCUUAAGCCCGGUGCCGAAGCUGGGGAUAGCUAGCAAAAUUUUUGCUAGCUAUGGUAGGGGAGCGUUCCCACUGGGCUGAAGGCAGACAGUGAUGUCUGCUGGACUGGUGGGAAGUGAGAAUGUAGGAAUGAGUAACCGCAACCUGGGUGAAAGCCCCAGGGGCCGAAAGCCCAAGGUUUCCGUGGCAACGGUGAUCGACCACGGGUUAGGCGGUCCUAAGGCUAAGCCUAAGAGGCGAUGCCGAAGGGCAGUGGGUUAAUAUUCCCACCCUACCUAGGAGUUCUGAAGGGUGACGAAGAGGAGUAGUCGGGAGGGAUAAUUGGCUUUCCCUCAGCCCGAGUUUUCGGGGGUUCUCGAUGAAUCCUCUUCCUAGAAAAGCCCGUAGGGUUAACUCCUAGGUAACCGUACCGCAAACCGACACAGGUGGGCUGGUAGAGUAUACCA
rnacentral:rRNA from 1 species